GAUGAAGAACGUAGUGAAAUGCGAUAAGUAAUGUGAAUUGCAGAAUUCAGUGAAUCAUCGAAUCUUUGAACGCAUCUUGCGCUCCUUGGUAUUCCGAGGAGCAUGCCUGUUUGAGUGUCAUUUGUACCCUCAAGCUCUGCUUGGUGUUGGGUGUUUGUUCCGCCUCUGUGUGUGAACUCGCCUCAAAACAAUUGGCAGCCGGCGUACUUGUUUCGGAGCGCAGCACAUUUUGCGAUCCAGAUCAACGUACAGCGGCAUCCAAGAAGCCUUAUUUAACGCUCUUGACCUCGGAUCAGGUAGGGAUACCCGCUGAACUUAAGCAUAUCAAUAAGCGGAGGA
rnacentral:misc_RNA from 1 species